AUCCUCCUAAAGCAAUAUUCAUCAAGGACGGCAUCGAAAACUUCAGGGACUUCAUUGGCUGGCACAAACAGAAAGCAUGGAGCAUCAGGACAACGACAAACAGGGAAAACCAUACCUAUACUAAAAAAACAUAGGGUUAUUCUACAUGGAUAACUUAAAAAAAGAUCUAAAAUGAACAAGCUCCCUAAAAAAAUUAAAUCUAAACAACUUGCAUCUCUAAGCAACUAGACUUGCAUAAACUAUCCAGAUAUUAAUGGGGAACCAUACAUAAACUAAACUUGCGUAAACUAUUCAGAUAUCAGAGGUGGGGGGGGGGGAGCAUUGUGGUUACAAACUGUAACCUGCAUUUGACUUAACAAAUGAACAUACUAACCAUUCUGCAAAUUUCCCUAAAAAAUAUAACAUUUACUUAAUAACCCUAAAAAAUUGACUACCAAGCUCAAACACUAGGGGUGCAAGGCGGCACCCCGAGCCAUUCUGCUCCGAAUUGAAGAUGACGCAGGCUCAGAUGUAGCCAGCCUGAUGUGAUUCUAGCUUAAUUUCGGCUAACUCAACACUAUGGCAGACUCUGAAAAGACACCACUCCACACCCAUAUUAAGAUUAAUGAGUUCUAAAUCAACAAAAGAACAUAUAUCACCCGCAAAAAAAAAGAACAUAUAUAAAACCUAGAAGCACAUGACCUUCAAUCUGCAUAAGAAAAUAACAAAUGUACACGAAAAAGGUAGGAUCUUUGAAGAGGUAGAAGACUCACUCCACAUCUAAAAGAUCCCUAAAACUAGGUACUCCCACUACCACCAAACAAACAAAAAAUAUAGCAAACCUGAAGACUACAAAACCACCUACAGAAGCAUCAAAUCAAAAACACGUACGAUUUGAAUCCAACCUAAACAGUAAAAAGAAACCUAAUUAAAUCACAAUAUAACAAAGAACCCUAGAAAACUACUCUCACUGCCACCGUAAACAUUACAGUAAUAAGAUCAAGCAAAAGAUAAAACCUAGAGGGAGAAGUAUAAGCAGAAGCAGCAAAUCUAGCAAGAACAUCCACAAACCCUGGCUCUCGCAGGCACAGCAAUACACACUGCGCAAAAAAUUACAACAGAGAAAUUAAGUAAAAGAAAAUACCUGAAGAAGGGGAUAGAUGCAGCAGAACUAAUCCCUCUGCCAAGAAUCCCCUGAUUCCCAAAUCCUGCGAAUAGAAAAAGGCACAAAAAAGCACCUUAAAAAAGCAUAAGAACAACCACAGGGAUAAGAAUAAGCAGAGGGAGCAGAUCUAGCAAGAACAUCCAUUAACCCCAACUAUCGGCAGGGAGAGGAGAAGACACACUGGACUGAAGCAGAGGCGCAAGUACUGAUAGGAAGCGAGGGGGAAGGGG
rnacentral:lncRNA from 1 species